GUCAAAAAAGUUUUUAUGUAUAUACACUCCCUAAGGAUCUUCUACGAACCGAAGCAAUCACAUAUAACUAUGUUUUAAUAAAACACAUUGAUGUUGAAUUUUAAAAUUUUAUUCAAAACUCAUUAUUUUGGUAAUAGCCUUAAUAUUUAACCGAUAAAUAAUUAAGAAACUCUUCUAUUUGAUGUCUGUUUAAAUUCGGCCGGGCUUUGAAUAAUAGAACGAAUUUAGAAAUUGUCAAAAACAAAAAUAAAUGAAUAAAUAAAAAUAGAACCCUUUAAAAAUUCUGUUAAAAUGCUAAAAAAAUACCGAAUAUAAGUUAUACGAACACGUAGACCUGCAUAGACAUUUUUCUGUCAUAGGCUGUAGUACCCAUUACGAAAUUUGGAACAAUUCCGGGGAAAUGUGUCUCUAAAAUCGUCAAAAUUCCGAAUAUAGGGAGGUACGGUUAUGUUGGGGCUAUACCUAAACGAAAUGGACCUAUAUAUCCUAUAUUUUUCACCAAAAGCCCUGCAGACCAAACACAAAAUUCAGUAAAAUGUUAUCAACCUACUUCAAUUCGUUCGGAAGCUAGAGUGAUUUCCACAAGCAGGUAGAUUUCCACAGACGGACAGAUUUCCAAAAAGAGACAGACCGACGGACGGUCAUCUAAAAUGUAUAUUUCGAGGUGUUACAAAUGGAAUGACGUACUUAAUAUAUCCGUCAUACUACGGUGGAGGGUAUAAUAAAAUUAUGUUAUAAAAGAAACAAUAACAAAUAGGAAAUUAUGGAGCAUGUGAAUAUAUCAGUUAUUAUAAUAAUUUGGGAGUGAUAGAGAAAUUAGAGAGCACGAUAACAUCGUAGAGAGAGAGAGAGAGAAAGUUAGACAGCGGGAAUAUAACAGUAAGUUUCUCAGAGAGCAAGCAAGGAAAUUGUAUUAAAACGGACAUGUUUAAGAAGUUUUGUAGAAAAAGAAUAGUAAGUUCAGUAAAAUUGUGACAAUACGAUAUGACUUUGGGUCACUUAAGUAUGGAAACCCUUUAAAAGGUCUUUCAUAUAUGGAGAGACUCAACCCUUUAAUGUAUCGAAGAUCUCAGAAAGAUCUUUUGCGUAGCGUAGACUCAAAAAAGGCCCCAAAGGUCCCACUUAUCAAAGGCCUCAAAAAUGUCUUCUCUUCGUCUUCUGAGAUUUAGUGUCCUUUCACAAUUGUCGAAAAGUCGUUUUCAUAUCCAAAUUCAAAAAUGUCGAUUAAACGUUAAAAAUCUGUGUAUCGAAGAUCUUGAAAGACUCAUCUAUGUAUCGAAGAUCACGAAAAGAUAUAGAAAAGCUCAGAAUGAUUUUCUAUGUAUAGACGAUCCCAAACUACUUUGAAUCAGAUAUAUACCAAAGACCUCUAAAACGAAAAAAAAAAAAAUAUUUCGGAAUAAAUUAAAAAAAGGUUUGUAAUAAAAAAAAAAAUAAAAAAACAAAAAAAUAAUUAUAAUUGUGUAUUGAAGAUAUCAAAAGGCUAUGAAAUCUUACCCAAAUUUGCUCGAUUUUACUCGCUAGUAUGAAUGCUCGAAGUGUAGGAGGUUUAUAUAAAGGUUAAUCUCCACUGUUUCCUUUUGUAUGGGAGCGCUCGUGCGCUCGGUUUUGCCGAUGGGGGUUUCGAAGGAGUGGGUCACUAUUGUCAAUUUCGUAUCUGACCUAAGUCUGAUAUAAAUAUUACAACGUAUCAGAUUGGGACUAUAUCGACUACUCCUUCAGAUAAAAAUAUUGGUGUGUGCAAAAUGUAAAGAAAGCCGAACAUCUGUUUCCAAUUUUAUGCGAAUAAUAAAAAUGUUGAACUUUUUUUGGGGAGGCAACAGUAGGAGUUGGUUAAUUAAUUCCAUGUUCAAAUCAGAGCUCAGAUCAAGUUUGAACAGGAUUUUAGACUUGUAUCGCAUGUUAUGAAUUUCAAUUUUCAAUACUAACAGCCUGUUCCACGAUGUCGAAAGAACACAUUCGCACAACUUUUACACGACAAACAGCUGAUUUCCGUUCCACUAAAAUCCAUCAGAACGAAAAUUUGCACGAAAAUCAAAGCGAACGAAAACGUAAGCGUUUCAGUGUAAUUUUGCGUUCCACUAUCUUUUUUCUUUCGUACGCAUGCGAACACAAAUGUCAAAAUCAGUCACUUGUGUGUUUGCUGUCGAAUGAUAAAAAUUAAGGAAAAUUGUUUUAACAUAAACAUUCCUUGAUUGAAAAUGGAAAGAAAAAUCACGAAAAAACUACACAGCUGCGGGCACUAGUUGAGUAUAUGGGGGAGAAUCCUAAGUUCGGCAGAGGAGUGCCAAUUUUUGGAAGCAGCAGGCAAUCCCAUGAAGACCACUGGAAGACACAAACCUAGAAAAAAUCAUUUUUUUAUUAUUUCAAAAAUGUAAAAAUACAAUCAUACUUACUGGUUGUUAGGUACUUCAAAUAAAUUCGAAGCAUCUCUUAAA